CGCGGGAGAGCAAAGGUAGAAUAUUCAUAUAAACGUUUAACCGCGGAGUCCCACUCGCCAGCAAAACUCAGAGUGCCAUUGUCGCUGCUAUGGUCCCCAAACUUGCCAUUGUGCAAGUUAGCAGAGGCCAAACAGGGGUGCAUCUUCCUCUGCACGUAUACUGUAUUAGAAUCAGAAGGGUUUACUGCCAGCGGAAUGUAAUCGAAAGCGGUCAUUGGAGAUAUUUGAGCUACUAAUUUCCAUUCCGCGCUCUCUAGCCUCCAUAUACUUAACUUAUGCUCUAGACUUAUGUUCAUAUACAUAAGAAACCCUUGAGAACUUGUGCAAGGUCUUCUGAAAUCCGCUUUGUU